UUUUUCACUUACAUAUGUAUGUACAUAUUUCAAUAAAAUAUUUUGUAUUGAUUUGUUAAUUAUAACUUCUUGGAUACGGGACAUGCUCCAGGGGUACCUACUCCCUUUUAAAUAAUAAAUUUGCUUCCCAUAACAACUGUUGUCAUUCAAAAACUUCGAGACUACGAGUAACAAUAAAAUUCAAGGAAACCAAAACUAAUUGAAAGUUUGUUAUCAAAAAAAAAUACAUCAGUCAUAUUCAAAAAAACAAAAUCAAAAAAUAUGCUUAAAAAUAGUAAAAAUAAAAAUACUCUUAAUCAUGUAAAUUGCUUAAGUGGAAGAAUACAAAGUGAGACGCAUGAACAAUUUCAGAAACCAUUUAUUAAAAAAUUUCCAGUGACUCGAACCAAACGACUGGAACAAUUCCUAUGGAAUGAAUUUUACGAAGAAUACAUUCGUUCAAAACAACCAUCGAAUGUUAUUGUUCCAUUUGAGAACCAAAUUACAGAAUACACUGAUGAAUAUGCAAAAUUUAAACGGAACGAUAAAGAAAUUGAUGGACAAAUAUUGGCAAAGGAUUAUCCACUUUAUUCGAAUGCAGCUAUAACUUAUUGGAAUCCAAAUGGACGACAGAGCAAUUUUGGGAGAACUCUUUCAAUUAGUCUACCAACUUCCCAACAACAUGAACAGAUGGGAUAAAAGAUACAUUCAUUCGGAACUAAAAUAAUGACGAUUUUUGGAAAACAGUUGCUGAUUCUCAUGUUUUAUAGAAGUUCAACUUUCUUGGAAAAUAAACUUUGAUGGGAGAAUAAUCUUGUUUUUCUUUGAUUUAUUGAAAAACAAAUAAGAAACUG